rnacentral:rRNA from 1 species
CCUACGGGUGGCAGCAGUGGGGAAUAUUGCACAAUGGGCGCAAGCCUGAUGCAGCCAUGCCGCGUGUGUGAAGAAGGCCUUCGGGUUGUAAAGCACUUUCAGCGGGGAGGAAGGCGGUGAGGUUAAUAACCUCAUCGAUUGACGUUACCCGCAGAAGAAGCACCGGCUAACUCCGUGCCAGCAGCCGCGGUAAUACGGAGGGUGCAAGCGUGAAUCGGAAUUACUGGGCGUAAAGCGCACGCAGGCGGUCUGUCAAGUCGGAUGUGAAAUCCCCGGGCUCAACCUGGGAACUGCAUUCGAAACUGGCAGGCUAGAGUCCUGUAGAGGGGGGUAGAGUUCCAGGUGUAGCGGUGAAAUGCGUAGAGAUCUGGAGGAAUACCGGUGGCGAAGGCGGCCCCCUGGACAAAGACUGACGCUCAGGUGCGAAAGCGUGGGGAGCAAACAGGAUUAGAUACCCCUGUAGUC